rnacentral:lncRNA from 1 species
AUAUUCUGUAAGACUAUCAGAUUCUGUUAGGUGUGUGUUUCAGGGUGUAUAUGUCUGUUUAUGUAGCCUCUGGCAAAUUCCUUAGGGUUUCCUCUCCUGCAAGACCUCACAAUGCUGCAAAGACUGCAUGAACUACGCCAUGCACAAAUCUUGGCAGUCCCCAGCACACGGUAAACGCUGAUACCGCAGUAGCUGUUAUCCAUGGUCAGGAAGAAGACACACACAAGAUGCGUAAAAAACAUCAAUGGUUAAACCUAGAUUCACGCUCAAAGGAAGAAGCAGGCAUUGAAGCUCUAGAUGAAAAAGAAGGGACCCGAACACUAAGGACUCGUCUCCAAGGCUGCCAGCUGGCUGUGCGUUCCUGAUGUUCAGUGUGAGGGGCAAAGCCCAGACUCGGGGUGUACGCAUGGGUCUUUCCGGCCCCCACAUCCAGGAAGGCGACCACCACCGACCAAGUCUUUUUCAACUACAGUCAAGCUCCUAACAGACCUCGUGAAGCAGGCGGGAUCGGUCACCUGAGAGACACAACCCCCGCACUCACAGUGCAGCCAGUCAGCUCUUCACAAAAGCAGCCAAAACCAGAAUAAGAACUCCUCACUAGUAUGACACAGGACAGGUGACCUUAUAAAGAAAACAGCUAAGUUACAUGGCAAAAAGCAGAAGCCCUCAAAAAUGGACAAAGCCAUGUCUGGUUAUUGAUGGGAAAAUUAAAUCCCUUUCCUGGUUGUAGACAAAUGCAGUUCCCACCUACACUUGAGCACACUUCUAAGAAUCCAAAGCCUGAAAUUUGUUUUGAGAAUCUAUGAACUAUCGAAGAGAAAAGGUAAUAAGGCAGAGUUGAUCCUCCCAGACAUUAAAAAAAACAUACUAUAUCAAUAAUCAAAAGCAUAGGACUUGCUCAAAACAAGAAACAAAGAAACCCUCGCUGUAUAUAAGAAUGUGGUAAUGGGGGCUGGGGAUUUAGCUCAGCGGCACAGCACCUGCCUGGCAAGCGCAAGGUCAUGAGUUCGAUUCCCAGUACCGGAAGAAAAACAAAACAAAAAAAAAGUGGUAAGUGAUGAACACUAAGUAAAAUCAUGGUGAAAAAGCUAUUUAACUAAUGCCUCUGUAAUAACAGGAUUCCAGUACAGAGAAAAAUUAAUUUAGGGGUGGGAGGCAGCUCAGUGGCAGAGUGUGCUUGUAACUAGCACACACACUGUGUGAGGGCAGAGUGUGUUUGUAACUAGCACACACACUGUGUGAGG